ensembl:snoRNA U3 Small nucleolar RNA U3
AUUGCUGUACAUCAGAUUAUCUUUGUCCAAGACAUGAUCCAGGUCUGCUCUGCUGAGGUUUUCAUUCUCAUGAAGGAAUGCAAGGAAGGUCACUUCUGAGCAAGAAGUGGAUAGAGAGAAAUGAUUAAUGUCAUACACUCUCUAUCAUUGAUGAUUGCUCUUUGCUCUUCUAGGGAGCAUUGAGGAAGAGAAUAUCUUCAGAGUGGU